rnacentral:rRNA from 1 species
UUGCCAGCCCGCUCAGAAACUCAAAUGAAUUGACGGGGCCCGGCGACAAGCGGUGGAGUAUGUGGUUAAUUCGAUGCAACGCGAGAACUACCUGGUCUUGACAUCCCGGAGACCCUUAGGAAACUAGGGGGUGCUUCCAUCUGGAAGAAUCUGGAGACAGGUGCUGCAUGGCUGUCGUCAGCUCGUGUCGUGAGAUGUUGGGUUAAGUCCCGCAACGAGCGCAACCCUUGCCUUUAGUUGCCAGCAGUUCGGCUGGGCACUUUAAAGGGACUGCCGGUGUUAAACCGGAGGAAGGUGGGGAUGACGUCAAGUCCUCAUGGCCUUUAUGACCAGGGCUACACACGUACUACAAUGGCCGAUACAAAGGGCAGCGACACUGCGAGGUGAAGCCAAUCCCGUAAAAUCGGUCUCAGUCCGGAUUGGAGUCUGCAACUCGACUCCAUGAAGUUGGAAUCGCUAGUAAUCGUGGAUCAGCAUGCCACGGUGAAUACGUUCCCGGGCCUU